GAAAGCGUGGGGAGCAAACAGGAUUAGAUACCCCGGUAGUCCACGCUGUAAACGAUGUCGAUUUGGAGGUUGUUCCCUUGAGGAGUGGCUUCCGGAGCUAACGCGUUAAAUCGACCGCAUGGGGAGUACGGCCGCAAGGUUAAACUCAAAUGAAUUGACGGGGGCCCGCACAAGCGGUGGAGCAUGUGGUUUAAUUCGAUGCAACGCGAAGAACCUUACCUACUCUUGACAUCCAGAGAAUUUAGCAGAGAUGCUUUAGUGCCUUCGGGAACUCUGAGACAGGUGCUGCAUGGCUGUCGUCAGCUCGUGUUGUGAAAUGUUGGGUUAAGUCCCGCAACGAGCGCAACCCUUAUCCUUUGUUGCCAGCACGUUAUGGUGGGAACUCAAAGGAGACUGCCGGUGAUAAACCGGAGGAAGGUGGGGAUGACGUCAAGUCAUCAUGGCCCUUACGAGUAGGGCUACACACGUGCUACAAUGGCGUAUACAAAGAGAAGCGACCUCGCGAGAGCAAGCGGAACUCAUAAAGUACGUCGUAGUCCGGAUUGGAGUCUGCAACUCGACUCCAUGAAGUCGGAAUCGCUAGUAAUCGUAGAUCAGAAUGCUACGGUGAAUACGUUCCCGGGCCUUGUACACACCGCCCGUCACACCAUGGGAGUGGGUUGCAAAAGAAGUAGGUAGCUUAACCUUCGGGGGGGCGCUUACCACUUUGUGAUUCAUGACUGGGGUGAAGUCGUAACAAGGUAACCA
rnacentral:rRNA from 1 species